GCCCAAGAAGUACAGUGGUUAGUACUCCGACGUGUUGACUGUGGCGACACAGGUUCGAUUCCUGUUGGGGGCA
rnacentral:tRNA from 1 species